AGGCGGACGAUCAAGUCAGGAGUGAAAUCCCCGGGCUCAACCCGGGAACUGAGUCUGAAGCUGGUCGUAUUGAGUGUCGGAGAGGGAAGCGGAAUUCCUGGUGUAGAGGUGAAAUUCGUAGAUAUCAGGAGGAACACCGGUGGCGAAGGCGGCUUCCUGGACGACUACUGACGCUGAGACGCGAAAGCGUGGGGAGCAAACAGG
rnacentral:rRNA from 1 species